rnacentral:rRNA from 2 species
GAUGAACGCUGCGGCGCGCCUAACACAUGCAAGUCGAACGGUUAAAGCACCUUUUAGGUGUGUAUAAAGUGGCGAACGGCUGAGUAACACGUGGGCAACCUGCCCUCCUCUUGGGGAUAGCCUCGGGAAACCGAGGAUAAUACCCGAUACUCCAAUGUGGCCGCAUGACGACAUUGAGAAAGCUUUUGCGGAGAAGGAUGGGCCCGCGGCCUGUUAGCUUGUUGGUGGGGUAGAGGCCUACCAAGGCAAUGAUGGGUAGCUGGGUUGAGAGACCGACCAGCCAGAUUGGGACUGAGACACGGCCCAGACUCCUACGGGAGGCAGCAGUGGGGAAUCUUGCACAAUGGGCGAAAGCCUGAUGCAGCGACGCCGCGUGCGGGACGAAGGCCUUCGGGUUGUAAACCGCUUUCAGCAGGGACGAGGCGAAAGUGACGGUACCUGCAGAAAAGCCCGGUA